GACUUCUACUGCGGCUGCGCAAGCUGGACGCGCGCAGUCUUGUCUGCUUACGAGGGCUCCUCCCUUCAUCUUUGGUCCCUCGGGGCGUCUGGGCAGCCUACGCUUUCCGGAUAAAAAUGGCAGAAUGAAAGAAUUAUGAGUGGGACUAGAGAAUAGGAAAGACACGAACCAACGCCCAAAAUGAGAAAGAAGGACAUAUAAAGAAAAAGACAAAUACAAGUGAAAAAAAUAGACUAAUGGAUUAACAUCCCUGUUGUGUGACAUUUUCUUGUAUGACAGCUGAAGAUGUUGAACCCUAUGGUGCAUUUUUGCAAAUAGUCUAUGAAGUGGGAUGUAAGUUUUACCAGUAAUUGUCUAUAGAUACAAAAAGGAGCCAACCUCUUUUUUUUCUCCUUUUAGUGUGAUGUUCCUUGUUCUAUCUUCGAACUCUCAAAGGUAGCCUUUACGCAGAUGUUCAGUUAAACUAAUUCUACCAGUGUCAUAUGUCUACCAAUCUCAUUACUUCCCUUGUAUGUACUUCUAGAGCAAAGAGCUCAUUACAGUAAGAAUGAUGGUAAAUUUUACUGAGGCAAACAAAGAUUUCUGAACACGAGCAGUGUGUGAAACGCUUAUGCACUAGCUGAUAGCAUAACUCUGGUCAAAGAAAUUUGGUCACUUAAAUAUUAU
rnacentral:sRNA from 1 species